UACGUAGGGUGCAAGCGUUGUCCGGAAUUAUUGGGCGUAAAGAGCUCGUAGGCGGUCUGUCGCGUCGGCUGUGAAAACUCGGGGCUCAACUCCGAGCUUGCAGUCGAUACGGGCAGGCUAGAGUUCGGCAGGGGAGACUGGAAUUCCCGGUGUAGCGGUGAAAUGCGCAGAUAUCAGGAGGAACACCGAUGGCGAAGGCAGGUCUCUGGGCCGUAACUGACGCUGAGGAGCGAAAGCGUGGGGAGCGAACAGG
rnacentral:rRNA from 1 species